rnacentral:rRNA from 1 species
AGUGAACGCUGGCGGUAGGCCUAACACAUGCAAGUCGAACGGCAGCGCAGUAAGAGCUUGCUCUUACGGGUGGCGAGUGGCGGACGGGUGAGGAAUACAUCGGAAUCUACUUUUUCGUGGGGGAUAACGUAGGGAAACUUACGCUAAUACCGCAUACGACCUACGGGUGAAAGCAGGGGAUCUUCGGACCUUGCGCGAUUGAAUGAGCCGAUGUCGGAUUAGCUAGUUGGCGGGGUAAAGGCCCACCAAGGCGACGAUCCGUAGCUGGUCUGAGAGGAUGUUCAGCAACACUGGAACGGGGACACGGUCCAGACUCCAACGGGAGGCAGCAGUGGGGAAUAUUGGACAAUGGGCGCAAGCCUGAUCCAGCCAUACGGCGUGGGUGAAGAAGGCCUUCGGGUUGUAAAGCCCUUUUGUUGGGAAAGAAAAGCAGCAGGUUAAUACCCCGCUGUUCUGACGGUACCCAAAGAAUAAGCACCGGCUAACUUCGU